rnacentral:tRNA from 1 species
AAGAAAGAAGCAUAAGUGGAUUUGAUGCGGUUGGCUUGAAACCAAUUUAUGGAGGUUCGAUUCCUUCCUUUCUUG